GAUGAACGCUAGCGGGAGGCUUAAUACAUGCAAGUCGAGGGGUAACAUGGGAGCUUGCUUCUGAUGACGACCGGCGCACGGGUGAGUAACGCGUACACGACCUACCUUCGAGAGGGGAAUAGCCUCGGGAAACUGAGAUUAAUGCCCCAUAGUAUUACUAUAGUAAGUAUUGUAAUUAAAGAUCCGUCGCUCGAAGAUGGGUGUGCGUAUGAUUAGAUAGUUGGUGAGGUAACGGCUCACCAAGUCAACGAUCAUUAGGGGGCGUGAGAGCGUGGCCCCCCACACGGGUACUGAGACACGGACCCGACUCCUACGGGAGGCAGCAGUAAGGAAUAUUGGACAAUGGAGGAAACUCUGAUCCAGCCAUCCCGCGUGCAGGAUGACGGCCCUAUGGGUUGUAAACUGCUUUUAUAAGGGAAGAAACGCCAGCAUUUAUGUUGGUCUGACGGUACCUUAAGAAUAAGCACCGGCUAACUCCG
rnacentral:rRNA from 1 species